rnacentral:rRNA from 1 species
AUUGAACGCUGGCGGCAGGCUUAACACAUGCAAGUCGAGCGGGGUGAUGGUGCUUGCACUAUCACUUAGCGGCGGACGGGUGAGUAAUGCUUAGGAAUCUGCCUAUUAGUGGGGGACAACAUCUCGAAAGGGAUGCUAAUACCGCAUACGUCCUACGGGAGAAAGCAGGGGAUCACUUGUGACCUUGCGCUAAUAGGUGAGCCUAAGUCGGAUUAGCUAGUUGGUGGGGUAAAGGCCUACCAAGGCGACGAUCUGUAGCGGGUCUGAGGGGAUGAUCCGCCACACUGGGACUGAGACACGGCCCAGACUCCUACGGGAGGCAGCAGUGGGGAAUAUUGGACAAUGGGGGGAACCCUGAUCCAGCCAUGCCGCGUGUGUGAAGAAGGCCUUAUGGUUGUAAAGCACUUUAAGCGAGGAGGAGGCUCUUUUGGUUAAUACCCAAGAUGAGUGGACGUUACUCGCAGAAUAAGCACCGGCUAACUCUGUGCCAGCAGCCGCGGUAA